AGUGAACGCUGGCGGUAGGCCUAACACAUGCAAGUCGAACGGCAGCACAGUAAGAGCUUGCUCUUACGGGUGGCGAGUGGCGGACGGGUGAGGAAUACAUCGGAAUCUACUUUUUCGUGGGGGAUAACGUAGGGAAACUUACGCUAAUACCGCAUACGACCUACGGGUGAAAGCAGGGGAUCUUCGGACCUUGCGCGAUUGAAUGAGCCGAUGUCGGAUUAGCUAGUUGGCGGGGUAAAGGCCCACCAAGGCGACGAUCCGUAGCUGGUCUGAGGGGAUGAUCAGCCACACUGGAACUGAGACACGGUCCAGACUCCUACGGGAGGCAGCAGUGGGGAAUAUUGGACAAUGGGCGCAAGCCUGGUCCAGCCAUACCGCGUGGGUGAAGAAGGCCUUCGGGUUGUAAAGCCCUUUUGUUGGGAAAGAAAUCCAGCCGGCUAAUACCUAGUUGGGAUGACGGUACCCAAAGAAUAAGCACCGGCUAACUUCGUG
rnacentral:rRNA from 1 species